UACGGGGGGGGCAAGCGUUGUUCGGAAUCACUGGGCUUAAAGGGCGCGUAGGCGGGCUGUCAAGUCUGGGGUGAAAUCCCGCGGCUCAACCGCGGAACUGCCUCGGAUACUGACGGUCUCGAGGGGGGUAGGGGCGAGCGGAACUGAUGGUGGAGCGGUGAAAUGCGUUGAUAUCAUCAGGAACUCCGGUGGCGAAGGCGGCUCGCUGGACCUCUUCUGACGCUGAGGCGCGAAAGCUAGGGGAGCAAACGGG
rnacentral:rRNA from 1 species